UACGUAGGGGGCGAGCGUUGUCCGGAUUUAUUGGGCGUAAAGAGCGUGUAGGCGGCCAGGUAGGUCUGCUGUGAAAACUCGAGGCUCAACCUCGAGACGUCGGCGGAAACCAUCUGGCUAGAGUCCGGAAGAGGAGAGUGGAAUUCCUGGUGUAGCGGCGAAAUGCGCAGAUAUCAGGAAGAACACCCGUGGCGAAGGCGGCUCUCUGGGACGGUACUGACGCUGAGACGCGAAAGCGUGGGGAGCGAACAGG
rnacentral:rRNA from 1 species